rnacentral:rRNA from 1 species
UAGGCUGCAACCCGCCUGCAUGAAGUUGGAAUUGCUAGUAAUCGCGGAUCAGCAUGCCGCGGUGAAUACGUUCCCGGGGAUUGUACACACCGCCCGUCACACCAUGAGAGUCGGGAACACCCAAAGUCCGUAGUCUAACCGCAAGGAGGACGCGGCCUAAGGUGGGUUCGAUAAUUGGGGUGAAGUCGUAACAAGGUACC